GUCCUUAGUUACCAGCACGUUAUGGUGGGCGACUCUAAGGAGGACUGCCGGUGACAACCGGAGGAAGGUGGGGAUGACGUCAAGUCAUCAUGGCCCUUACGGCCUGGGCUACACACGUGCUACAAUGGUCGGUACAAAGGGUUGCCAAGCCGCGAGGUGGAGCUAAUCCCAUAAAACCGAUCGUAGUCCGGAUCGCAGUCUGCAACUCGACUGCGUGAAGUCGGAAUCGCUAGUAAUCGUGAAUCAGAAUGUCACGGUGAAUACGUUCCCGGGCCUU
rnacentral:rRNA from 1 species